rnacentral:rRNA from 1 species
CCCUUAGAUGUCCUGGGCUGCACGCGCGCUACACUGAUGUGUCCAGUAAGCACCUAACCUCUUCCGAAAGGAACGGGUAACCUUUGCAAAGCACAUCGUGAUGGGGAUAGAUUAUUGCAAUUAUUAGUCUUGAACGAGGAAUUCCUAGUAAGCACAAGUCAUCAGCUUGUGUUGAUUACGUCCCUGCCCUUUGUACACACCGCCCGUCGCUCCUACCGAUUGAAUGUGUUGGUGAGGAGUUCGGAUUGGCAGCUGGUGGUGGUUCGCCACCGCCUGCAGCUGAGAAGUUCUCCAAACCGCCCCAUUUAGAGGAAGGAGAAGUCGUAACA